GCGCCCGUAGCUCAGGUGGAUAGAGCAGCGGUUUCCUAAACCGCGUGUCGGGGGUUCGAGUCCCUCCGGGCGCGCCA
rnacentral:tRNA from 1 species